UCACUUGGCAUAGCUCUGUCAGAAAAGCAUGAGACUCUUAGGACUUAGCUGCACUCAUCAAUUACAUCGUUAUAACUGAGCUAUGUGACAACAGAUGGUGCUGCAGGGCAGUGAUCCAUUGCCAAUGUGAUUUUGCCUUGAGAGCUUUUACAGUGUUUUGGGUUUUUGGCUUUUUAAAAAUCAGUGUAGAUCCAACUUUACUCUCAGGGUUGUGGGUUUGAGCCCCAUGCUGAGUGAA